rnacentral:rRNA from 1 species
UACGGAGGGAGCUAGCGUUGUUCGGAAUUACUGGGCGUAAAGCGCACGUAGGCGGCUUUGUAAGUUAGAGGUGAAAGCCCGGGGCUCAACCCCGGAAUUGCCUUUAAGACUGCGUCGCUUGAAUCCAGGAGAGGUGAGUGGAAUUCCGAGUGUAGAGGUGAAAUUCGUAGAUAUUCGGAAGAACACCAGUGGCGAAGGCGGCUCACUGGACUGGUAUUGACGCUGAGGUGCGAAAGCGUGGGGAGCAAACAGG